rnacentral:rRNA from 1 species
CCUACGGGAGGCAGCAGUGAGGAAUAUUGGUCAAUGGACGAGAGUCUGAACCAGCCAAGUAGCGUGAAGGAUGACUGCCCUAUGGGUUGUAAACUUCUUUUAUAUGGGAAUAAAAUGUUCCACGUGUGGGAUUUUGUAUGUACCAUAUGAAUAAGGAUCGGCUAACUCCGUGCCAGCAGCCGCGGUAAUACGGAGGAUCCGAGCGUUAUCCGGAUUUAUUGGGUUUAAAGGGAGCGUAGGUGGAUUGUUAAGGCAGUUGUGAAAGUUUGCGGCUCAACCGUAAAAUUGCAGUUGAAACUGGCAGUCUUGAGUACAGUAGAGGUGAGCGGAAUUCGUGGUGUAGCGGUGAAAUGCUUAGAUAUCACGAAGAACUCCGAUUGCGAAGGCAGUUCACUGGACUGCAACUGACACUGAGGCUCGAAAGUGUGGGUAUCAAACAGGAUUAGAUACCCCAGUAGUC